UUUCCAAUAACUGACCAAGGUGUAUUUUGCGUGCUAAUAAAAUUCUAACCGACGGCGCAGCUUUUAAAUGCGACUCGCGAUAUUGCUAGGUACCGGGACGCGAUUCGAAUAAUUGAACCUGCGGGUUUUUAGGGAAACUUUACAAGUGCGAGAGAUGCCUCAAAACGUACAAAUACAACAGCGGCCUGUGGACGCACCAGAAAUACAAUUGCCAAACAAACACUGCCUAACGUAUCAUUUAAAAAUGAAACAUAACAUAUCGUUAUAAGGAGACGGCCGCUGGCUUGUUCAUGUGCCUCAAGUGUGGCAGAACGUACAAGAGGAAGUCGGGCGUCAGGCAACAUAUUAGAUCGAGUACAGUGU